rnacentral:piRNA from 1 species
UGCCUUGAUUUAACCGGCAUCGGGACAAA